rnacentral:rRNA from 1 species
AGCGAACGCUGGCGGCAGGCUUAAUACAUGCAAGUCGAGCGCCUGUAGCAAUACAGGAGCGGCAGACGGGAGAGUAACACGUGGGGACGUGCCCUUUGGUUCGGAACAACACAGGGAAACUUGUGCUAAUACCGGAUAAGCCCUUACGGGGAAAGAUUUAUCGCCAAAGGAUCGGCCCGCGUCUGAUUAGCUAGUUGGUGGGGUAAUGGCCCACCAAGGCGACGAUCAGUAGCUGGUCUGAGAGGAUGAUCAGCCUCGUUGGGACUGAGACACGGCCCAAACUCCUACGGGAGGCAGCAGUAGGGAAUAUUGGACAAUGGGGGCAACCCUGAUCCAGCCAUGCCGCGUGAGUGAUGAAGGCCUUAGGGUUGUAAAGCUCUUUCGGCGGGGAAGAUAAUGACGGUACCCGCAUAAGAAGCCCCGGCUAACUUCGUGCCAGCCGCCGCAGUAAGAC